UUGUAAAUAAAACAGGGUGGUGCAGUAUCCUAGUCAGAUCCGCCGUUCCUGAAGACGGGCCUAAAAAUCCGUUUAAGGGCACAUCGAUGAAGUUCCUGGUGUCGGCUUGUUACGCCCAGUAGUGGGCUGAUGCUGGGAGUUAAGGCUUAGGGGCGAUCUGCAAUGGCAUGCAGGCGUUGACCCCUCUGCCGUGGAGACCCUUACUUUUGGAAGAAAAGUCGGGGAAGCAGGCUGAAAUUUCGGCUUGUUUCCUUGCCACCUCGACCACGAUAAGGGAUUAAACCUGUUAGGCGGUACUUUAAAAGGUGCUGUGAACAGAGUAGCCUGCCUUGAGUGGGUUUGGUGGAUAGCGGAUCAGAUGCCGGAAUAUUGGCCGAUAUAACGGCAUUAUCGCUGCUUGAAACCAAAUUUGCAAAAGAGGCUAAGGAACUGGCCGGACUGCAGGGGAAAACCUCUAGGCUGUUCGAUUUUCGAGGCAUAUUGAAGAUUGCAGUGUGGACUAAGUGGUGAUCAGGCUUCAUUUAAGGUAACUUAAUGACGGAAGGGUUA
rnacentral:sRNA from 1 species